CACAUCAGAGCCUCCUCGCGGGUUGUCGAGAGGAAUGGAGAAGCCAGCAAGCGCGUGCAGUUACACCUUGUACACAGAUGGCCGUGUGACUCCUAUCUUGUAAAUUAUGUACAUAAAGUAACGUCUGAAGGUAUCUGCAUGUAUGAGUGUAUAUACAUUUAUGUCGCAUCAUCUGUGUGGCACAUACCGUUAGACCUCCUGCCUGCUCUAGUGUAGAUUUAGAAAGACUCGACUCUAGUUGGGAUUUUCAAACUUGGAUUUACCGACACGCACUAAUGGUGAAGCUCAAAUUUUAAAAAGGAUAUCAUUUGAAAAUGAGUCGUAUCUUGCAUAAUCUGAUGGAAUAUUGCUGUUAAAAUCAUUAUAGGCAAUGAAGUGAAAUUUAAAGGUCGCUUGGGCAACGUUUGAAAUAAUUUGUGUAGCUACAUAACGGAAUAUAAAUUAUAGGGCUUGUUUAGCUAGCUUGCUAGCUGUCUGGGUUACCAGUUUGCCUAAAAAAAAUCAGAACGGACGUCACGAGAUGAUACAUUUAGGAUUUACCUGAGAUUCACCUUAAGACUUUGACAGAGAUGAUUUUCUAGAAGAGGAGGAAGAGGCCCUAGCUCCCCUCAGCUUCCCUCUCUUUCCCAGAGACAUUAAACACUUUCUUCUGCCUCAGCGUGUGUAUAUAGUAAGGUUGGCUGAGGCGAGGCUUUAUUGAGGUGCCUAUUGACUUUAGUCCCCUUGGUAAGGUGCACAGGAAAGGGUAUGCACUUUAGGAGAUGGAGAGAAAGAAAGUAAGGACAGAAAGCUAGGACGGAGUGGAGAUAAGAAGCACUGUGCUGCUCAUCCUCUUUAUGCCUCUGUAAAGACUCUAAAGAAAGGAGAGAGGAGGACGGGAGCCUCUAGUGGCAGGGCCCAGCCCCGUAGUCACCAGCAACACUGGAACAACAGCAGCCAGAGAACCUAGAAGGUGGGUAAGAAGAGGACCACAGAAAGAGAGGAGAGACGGGGACUGAACAAGAACCAGAGGACGGGGAGCAGGAGGGGCAUCCCCAUGGCGACGGACCCUGGAGAACCCACGGGGACAGAGGACUCCUCAGAGAAAACUGAUGGAGCGCGAGAGGAGGAGACGGAGCAGGAGGAUGGCAGGAGGGAAAGGACGCAAAGUACCCCCUCUGACUUCCCCUCCUCCCAGGCUCAGGAGAGGAGAGCCGCCGAGGGUAGGGAUACAGGAGAAGGACCAAGAGGAGGCGGAAGUAGAGGAGGGCGAGGAGAGAUGGAGGACAGAGAUGUUAAGGAAGAGGAGAUACCUCCGUUUAGACCUAUGUCUCUCUCCACACCCUCAUCCCCAGCUGCGACCGUGAUGGCUUCAGGGUCAGGAGGUCACGGGCCGAGGCUGAGGAGAGAGAAGCGUUUCUUCAGGAAGAGUGUGGAGAUCUGCGAGGAGGAGGACGAGGUAGCGGCAGACCCCCCAGAGGUGUCCCACUCCGCCCCCCACCUGGAUUCAGUCUUCACCCUCACCGGGGCCCAGGCCGCUACUGCCACCGCCACCUCAGCUUCCGCAGCCCUAGGACACGACACCGCUCACCAUGACCCAUCCAGCCCCAGCACCACCCAGGACCCCGGGGCCAAGGACGCCCCCUCUUCCGCCCCUGCCCAGACGGGGAAGGAGAGGGACAGGGAGCAGGAGGAGGAGGCAGAGAUGAAGGCCGUGGCCACCUCGCCGGGGGGGAGGUUUCUGAAGUUUGACAUUGAGCUGGGGAGGGGAGCCUUUAAGACCGUUUACAAAGGCCUAGACACUGAGACCUGGGUGGAGGUGGCCUGGUGCGAACUACAGGACCGUAAGCUGACCAAGGCGGAGCAGCAGCGUUUUAAGGAGGAGGCAGAGAUGCUGAAGGGGCUCCAACAUCCUAACAUUGUUCGUUUCUAUGACUCCUGGGAGUCAGUGCUGCGAGGGAAGAAGUGCAUCGUCCUGGUCACCGAACUCAUGACCUCGGGGACACUCAAAACGUAUCUAAAGCGCUUCAAGGUGAUGAAGCCGAAGGUCCUGAGGAGCUGGUGUCGUCAGAUCCUGAAGGGCCUCCAGUUCCUCCACACCCGGACCCCUCCCAUCAUUCACAGGGACCUGAAGUGUGACAACAUCUUCAUCACGGGCCCCACCGGUUCCGUCAAGAUAGGAGACCUUGGACUGGCUACUCUCAUGAGGACUUCCUUUGCUAAGAGUGUCAUAGGUACUCCUGAGUUCAUGGCUCCAGAGAUGUACGAGGAACAUUAUGACGAGUCAGUGGACGUCUAUGCCUUUGGGAUGUGCAUGCUGGAGAUGGCCACCUCAGAAUAUCCCUACUCAGAGUGCCAGAAUGCUGCACAGAUCUACCGUAAAGUCACCAGCGGUAUAAAACCAGCCAGCUUUGAUAAAGUCAAUGACCCAGAGAUUAAAGAGAUCAUCGAGUGCUGUAUCCGCCAAGACAAGAAUCAGAGGCUGUCCAUCCGGGACCUGUUGACCCACGCCUUCUUUGGGGAGGACACUGGGGUGCGUGUGGAGCUGGCGGAGGAGGACAUGGGGUAUCAGGAGUGUCUGGCCCUCAGGAUCUGGGUGGAGGAUCCCAAGAAGCUGAAGGGCAAACACAAAGACAACGAGGCCAUUGAGUUCAGUUAUGACCUGGAGAAUGACAGCGCAGAAGAGGUGGCUCUGGAGAUGGUGAAGUCGGGCUUCUUCCAUGAGAGCGAUGCUAAAGUGGUGGGGAAAUCCAUCCGCGACCGUGUCACGCUCAUCAAGAAGUCCCGUGAGAGACGCCAGCAGCAGCUGCUCCAACAGCAGCAAGGCUUUGAUGAGAGACGGGACUCCACCCUCACCUCCUCCUACACCAACACUUACCCCUCCUGCACCUCGUCCCUGGGGCCUGGUGUGGCUGGGCUGACAGGGCAAGGCGGGGGAGGUGGUGGGCAGGGGGAGGCUGAGGAGAUACCAAAGGCAGAUCAGCAUAUGAGGCAACAGCAGCAGAUCCACAGUGGGAAUCCUCUGAGCCUGCCCACAGGAGGGGAGAGCAUGGUUUCAGCCAGCUGUGAUUCCUAUGCCAAUGGCCAGAGCCAGGCGUACCCUCAGCAACGGGAGUCCUACGUGCUUUCUCAAUCCAACCUCCCUGCUGCUGCUUCGGCAAUUAUGGCCCACACCAAAAUGUUCCCAAUUAGUCAGAGCAGAGGAGUUCCGAAUGUGCUUAUUGGUCAGAGUAGUGGGAUUUCCGGCAUGUCCAUUGGCCAAAGUGGUGGUGGGGCUCCUGAUGGUCAGCAGACUUACGUUCAGCCUGUUGCCAUGCCAACACAGGUUUCACCAGAUAUACCACAGCAGUAUUCACAGUCAUACCACUCAGAUGGGUCACAGAUUUCACAAAUGGCCCCUUCCCUGUCCUACGCACCCCCAGUCUCCCCCCAAGCCCAGCUCAACAUCCUCCCAGCUCCCAUGUUAGCGGGGGACCCAACAGGACGAGUGGGGGCCAUGGUCCCUCUCCCACAACAGGCCCAGGCCAACGUCACUCCCAAUGUCAUCCAGAUGACACCCCAGCCUUUAACCCAGCAAGCACUGCCUGACAUGAUCCCACAGCAGCAGACCAUUGUUCAACAACAACAACAACAACAACAGAUACUGAUUGAGCAACAGCAGCAGCAGCAAAUGGAGGCUCAACAAGCCGCCCUGCUUCAGCAUCAUCAACAACAACAUCAACAACAGGCCAGUGUAUUUCCCCAGAAACAGGCGGUACAGCAACAGAUGGAACAACAGCAGCAGCAACAGCAGACUAUAGCAAUCCAACAGCAACAAACUACUGAGCCACAGCAGCAAGUGUAUGUGCAGCAAGCUUUGGUUCAGCAGCAGCAGGCCUUACUACAACAACACCAACAAUCAAUGGAACAACAGCAGCAUCAGGCCUUACUACAACAACAACAAUCAAUGGAACAACAGCAGCAUCAGGCCUUACAACACCAACAAUCAAUGGAACAACAGCAGCAUCAGGCCUUACUACAACAACAACAAUCAAUGGAACAACAGCAGCAUCAGGCCUUACUACAACAACAACAAUCAAUGGAACAACAGCAGCAUCAGGCCUUACUACUACAACAACAAUCAAUGGAACAACAGCAGCAUCAGGCCUUACAACACCAACAAUCAAUGGAACAACAGCAGCAGCAACAACAGGGAUUGUCAUUGCAGCAACAGCAAUUGGAUCAAACCCAAGCCUAUGCGCAACCACCGCAAAUUGACAUACAACAGCAGCAACAACUGCAGCAGCAGCAACAGCAGCAAAUAUUGUUACUACACCAACAACACCAGAUAGAACAUCAGCAACAACAACAAGCAAUGUUACUAGAACAACAACAGCAAGUGUACAUACAACAGCAGCUUGAGCAACAGCAGCAACAGGCUUUGCUACAACAGCAACAACAAGCGCAACUACAACAGCACCAACUGGAGCAGCAGCAAGCGUUGUUACAACAGCAGAUAUUUGAGCAACAGCAGCAGCAAGCUCUGUUACAACAGCAGCAACAAGAGCAGCAGCAACAGCAAGCCUUAAAGCAACAGCAACAACAGGCACAACUACAACAGCACCAGCUAGAGCAACAGCAAGCGCUCCUACAGCAACAACAGCAACAACAACAACAACAACUGGAGGCUCACCAAGUGAGCCAGAUACAACAACCACAAAUUGAUUUACAACAGCUGCAACAACAACAGCAAGCUGUGCUGAAACAACCGACCCAACUACAACAACAGGCGGUCGUCAGUCAUCCAGUCGACCCACAGCACCAGCAGGCUGUGCUUCAGCAACAGUUGGAACAACAGCAAGCCAUGCUACAACAGCAACAGCUUCAACAGCAACAAGUGAUUUUACAGAAGCAGCAAUUAGAGCAACAACAGCAGCAAGCUCUGUUACAACAACAGAUUGAACAACAACGGCAACAGCAGGCAUUGCUACUGCAACAACAAGCGGAGAGAAUUAACCAACAGGGUUUGCUACAACAGCAGCAGCAACAGAUUCAACAACAGCAAGAGACUGGGCAACCGCAGCAGCACCAGCAAACCACCAUAAUUCAAGUACAACAAAGCGAGAAACAAGAGACCGCUUUAAUUCUGCAACAAUGUGAGCAGCUGCAAGCAUUGAUUCAACAGCAACAGAUUGAUGUAUGUAUGUUGCAACAACAACAGCAAAACCCUGCUUUGUUUCCACCUAGUCACACUAGUCACACUAGUCUAACCCAGCAGCAAGUGACAGAACAACAGCAAGUGGUGCUGAUACAACAACAACAACAACUACAACAACAACAACAAAAACAACCUAUCUUACUGGAGCAACAACAACAGGCGUACGUUGCCCAGCAACAUCAACAGCACCAUCAGAGCUCUGUCAUUGAACCUCAGCCUCAGAUCCCCCUUAUGGCCCCAGCCAUACCAGCAGCAGAGGUUAUACAGGACAUUCAGGUCCAAGCUCAGAUAGCCGCCCAGGGUCAGGAAGUGAUACCUGUAGCCAUUCAGCUACAGAUUUCCAGCCAAGCUCUACCGGCUGUAGUGCAAGCCCAUGCCCAAGUCCUGGCCCAGAUUCAAGCUCGGAAUGAAGCUCACCCUCAGAGCCAGGGCAAUGUCUCAGUCCCAGUACUCCAAGCCCAGACCCAGCCUCCACACCAAGCCCAGCCCCAGAUGAUCGAGGUCCAGAUUCCAUCUCACAUGGUGGCCCCAAUCCAGGCACCAAGUCCUCCUAUCCCUAUCCAGCCUCAGGUUCCUCUGGUACAGGCUCCCCAUCAGAUGCCAGCUCUAAUACAGACCCAGGCGCCAGGGCAGUCAGUCAUCCAGCAGACUCCCCAGCCUUUGCACCCAACCCAGGCCCUGACUCAGACUCAGAUUCCGGAAGUUCUUGAGACUCAGAUGAUGCCUCCUAAGCACCAGAGCACAGCUCUGGUCCAACCCAAACCUCCAGCCUCAAUACCCCCCAUGCAAAGCCAGGUCCAGCCUCAACCCCAGCACCAGUCUUUAGUGCAGCCCAGUGUUCAACUUCCAGAGGUGGUGCAGCCUCAACUCCAGCACCAGGCUCCGGCUGGCCUAUUGGCACCGCAGUAUGUCACUGCACUUCAGCCCACACAACAGCAAACCAUGCAGCCAGUCCAACAGCAACAUCAGGACAUCACUCAACAAGUUUUACAACAACAACAACAGCAGAUACUGAAGGAUCAACAACAGGAGAUCACUCAACAAGUACAACAACAACAACAGCAACAGCAGAUACUGAUGGAUCAACAACAGUCCAUGCUGCAGAACCAGCAGAUGAUGUUGUCCCCUGGAUCUGUUGGUGUUGGAACUGUCCUUGCAGCCCCUGCAGCCAAGGUCAUAGACCCUACCACCUUGGUCUCUGCUUCGCCCCAACAAAUACAACAACAGACUGGACAAGCUCCAGCCCCCAUCCAGCUGGCUCUGCAGUCCCUUCCCCCUCAGCAGCAGCAAGUCUCAAUUCCCACUCUCAACCGAAGUCAACUGACUUCUCCGCUUCCUCAGAUCCCCACACAUCUGUUGCCCCAGCAGCCCACUGUUAACCCAGCACAGAUAGCAGCCCCCAGUAACGUGCCCCAGCUCGGGACUCAGACUAGAGCCCUACCCCUCUACAGUCAGGUAGGAGCAGGAGGUCCUCCACCAUCCCCCCAGCACCAGGCUCAGCUGACGCAGCCACUACCCGCCCACACACACACCCAGACGGCCAUGCAAGCUCUCGCAAACACUCACACCCAGACACUGGCCCAGACGAAGGUCCACACCGAGACCCAGCUCGCUGAGGCCGCAUUGGUGGCUGCCACCACCGAGCAACAGCACCCUCCGAAUCCCCCCCAGGCUACUUCCCUCCCUCUUCCACACAUGCCCCCCUGCCCCACUCAUACAGCAUCUCACCCCCACCCUGCCUCCCUGCCACCCCUCCGUCCUGCUACCCCUGGCCCAGAGACCCAGCCCACCCCACCAGAGAGUCAGCUAACCCUGCCUGGCCUGGCUGAUGGGCCCCCGGGACCCACUUCUCCCCCGUCUGUUGCCGCCGCUGCUGCUCAGCCCCUUGAUUCUAACGCCCCCUCGCUGCUGCCCCCAACCUCAACCUCGCUCCCAGACUGUGACCCUGCUCUGCUGAGCAUUGCUCAGGAGAGUCCGAAACAGUCUGGCACAGAGGGACACUCCACUUCAGGCUCUGUUCCAGACAAUGGGGAUGGGGAUUUACAGAUGUUGGCCAAUGAGAAACUAGAGAGGGUGAAGUCUCAGAGGAGAUUGUCCUAUCGGGGGCCAGAAAAAGGAUCACAUGCAUUUCAACUGACCAUGAUUCAGGUGUCCGGCUCUGGGGACAACAUGGUGGAGUGUCAGCUGGAAACCCACAGCAACAAGAUGGUCACCUUCAAGUUCGACACUGAGGGAGAUGCACCUGAAGACAUUGCAGAUUACAUGGUGGAGGAGGAUUUUGUCCGUGAAUCAGAGAAAGAGACAUUCUUGGAAGAGCUGAGGUCCAUUGUCAAGAGAACUCAGGAAAUUCUCCUCACACAUCAACAGACUGGCUCUAUGGAACAGCUGCAUGUGAGCACUCCAACAGGCACAGCAAUGGACGGGGCGCCCCAGUCGUCUCCGGUGGGCAGAUGGAGGUUCUUCAUCAACCAGACCAUCAGACACAGAGACUCCACAUCAAACCAGGGAGGAGCGUCAACCCCUCCACCUCUCUCGACCGGCGAGGUCAGGGUGCCUCAGCCUACAGACACUGACCCAGGCUGCCCCCUCUCACUCUGACACCAGUACCCCAGGAGAAGUCACUACGUGGCCCCCCAAUCUGCACCCCGUCCCCCUGGGCCAUGGACUGCCACAGCAUAAUGCAGGAGGUGGAUAUUUUGGCCUAAACCUGACAUGUCCUAGUAUCAGAAAUCCCGUUAGCAAGAAAUCCUGGACUCGCAAAUUCAAAAGCUGGGCGUGCAAACUGCGCCACUCCGCCAGCUUGUUCAAGAAGCCCAGAGUCAAGCAAGAUGGUCACUCUAGAGGCAGCCAGGCAGUCAGAGAGGGAGCUUCCUCCAACCCUACCCACUCACUCAAGGGACGAUUUCGGGUCACCGCAGUGCCUCAGCUCCCCGAGGCCUCUCCCCCCAAAGAGGCAGCCUCCGGUAUAGGCAGCAGUCACAGGAAAGUGGGGCGCUUCUCUGUCACCCAUACGGAGGCCCAAAGAGAGGAGAAAGAGCUAACAGACAGCUCCCCUGUGUCUCCUGACCUGGAGAGAGAAAGGAGGAGGACCCGAGGGAAAGAGGGAGAGGAAGGGAAGAAGAAUCCAGCACUGAACCACCCACCCCGAGGACAUGGGCAUGGUCACUCACCCCUAGGCAGUAGUGAUGAUGAGGAGAGUGAAAUGGGGGAUGAAGACCUGAGGAAGGAGCUGCACAAGAUGAGAGAGAAACACAUCAAGGAGGUGGUGUCCCUGCAAGCUCAGCAGAACACAGAGCUCCAGGAGCUGUACAAACAGCUCCGCUCCCUCCAAGAGCACCGGCCGACCCUGCCUCUGCCCCGCACCCCAACCCUCCCCUCGGGAGCGCCAGCCCUCUCCCCCCGCAGGCCCCGCACGGCCAAAGCCAAGCUCCGGCCCAGACCCCACUCCCACAUAGACAACAAUGGAGUCACUGGUCACCCUGGUAUCCAGCAGUCCAGUAGUUUUUCAGGCGGAGAACAGAGCAGACUACCACCGUACUGCAACCCAGAACACACCAACCUACUGACUACUAAAAGAGACCACAGUCCUCCCUCCCAAGGUGCCAGGAAGAGCACGUUCACAGAUGACUUGCACAGACUGGUUGAUGAUUGGACGAAGGAUACAGUGGGUCCCACCCAUCCCAAGCCCUCGCUCAAUCAAAUCAAGCAGAUUCAGCAGGUGCAGGAGUUGAAAGGCUGGCCACAGCCCACAGAGGUGGCUCCUCCAGGUUGGUUCCCUGUGGCACCACUGAACCCCCAGGCCUCCCCAGCCCCAGCUCAGUACACUGCUGGGGGGAGCCUGAGCCAGUGGAGCGGGAUGGGGGAACCACCAGGAUCACAGCAACAACAACAACAAACGCACAUGCCUCAAGUCCCACAGCUGCAGCAAAGUUUACAUCUCCAGCAAGCCCAGCCUCCUCACCCAUUACAAAUACAGCCCUUUCAGCAAUCACCUCUAUGCCUACAACAACAGCCCCUAAUCCAGACUCCACUACUGUCUCAGUCCCUGGCUCCUGUACAGCCACAGACUGGGCAACAACAGAUACCCAAGCAGCCCAAUGUAGGUGUAGGAGCCUCACCACAGAAUCAGAAUCAACCUCUGUUGCCUUCCCAGAUACCCCAAAUGGCCCCGUCAUCUGAGCUGGCCCUAGCGCAGCCUGGGUGUCUGAUUCCUGGGUCUAGCACAACCGCGGUGGUGGGAACCAUAGACACUGGACCUGCUGCUGCUGCCACCGGUGUCCCCGGAGGCACAUUCUGCUCCUCCUCCUGCUGCUCUGCUGCAGCUCAACCAUCCAGUGCCAAACUUCACCCCACGCCCCCAACCUCAACUCUUCCUCUGGGACAGCAGUGAAAUGAAGAAAAUAAAAAAAGGGAAGAGUGAUGUCGAUUAUGAUGGAACGAGGGAAGGAGAAAAAAGAUGGAGAGUGUGUAUGUUAUGAGAGGUAAAUGUCUGAGAAUGAGAAAAUGGACGCCAGUGGGUUUGUAAAGUUGAGAUGGGGAGUGAAUGAGAGAGAUGGUUGAGUCUAUGUAGAGUAUGUAGAGUAGAGUAUGUACAGACAGAGGGGAAAUGUGGAACUCUGGUGGGGUUAUUGUUGUGUUUGAGUGUUGAGAUGUACAAACUUGCGUAACGUUUGUGUGUGUAUUUGUGUGUGUGUUUGUGUUGCCAUUGAUUUUCUCAAUACAUAUCUCUUGUGUGUUUUGACACCAAGUAACAGUCAUGUUAUUUUUUUAAAUCCAACUAAUUUGGACCCUGAACUCUUCUCCCAAGCAGAGACAUGAAGGAACACAAACAUUAUGACAUUAUUAUUCUAUUUUUUAUUUGUCAAUGCUUACUUAUAUUGAAAACGACUAUGGAUUUUAGAAGUGCAAUUACUAACUGUCAUCUAAAUUUUAUCAUCCUGUAUUGUUUGUAAGGCAUUUAACAAAAUAUUUUUGUAGAAGCACGUUGACAACAAUCAACCAGACAUUUACAAGCCAAUACAGUGAGCCAACAUCUUACAUGAACAUAGCACAAAUGUUUCAACAGGCUACCAAUGAGAUGUAAAGCAGUUACAACAACAGCAUGUUACAGUAACACCACAGAGCAUGGUAAAAAUGGUGCUACCUGGCUAUUAUCACUACCACAAUGUCACUAUGCAUACUGUUGUACGGUGUAGUGCACUGGCAAGGCAUGUACUUUGUGUAUUGUUAUAUUUGACAUUGAUAAGUAGUGGUAACAACUAGGUUAGAAGAUUUCAAAUAACAUGUUGAUGAGUAACAUGAUUAAAUUCUGAUCAAUUAAUUUCCUUAAUACACUGAAAAAAUGAUUUAAUUGAUGAAUAUGUUCAGUGGGCUUUCAUUUAAAUCUUACUGAAUAAACACUCAUCGAGACUAAAACUGCAUGAUCUUAUGGCUACAACAUACCUUGACUUGCCUGACUUUAGUGCAAUCUACUUACAAGUGCUUAUAUAUAUAUAUAUAUAUAUAUAAGCACUUGUAUAUAUAUAUAUAUAUAUAUAUAUAUAUAUAUAUAUAUAUAUAUAUAUAAGCACUUGUGUAUAUAUAUAUAUAUAUCACGUCUGCUGCUGUGCACAACAGAAAAACAUUUGUUUUAGAUAAGUGUUAUUUCCUCUACCAGUCUCAGCCCUGCAUAUUGAAGGUGUCAUCCAAGGAAAACAAUGAUGAGAAAACAAACAAAAUGCCAAGUCAUUUCAUGGUAAUGGAGAACCCAUGUAAAUGUAUAGGGGCUGUUCUCACAUUGCCUUUUGGAAUUAAUACUUUACUGUGUGUGUGACUGUGCACCAAAAACGUGGACUAUGUACAAGAAGUGCUAUAGUUUCUAAACGGUUCACCCUAUAUGAUGAAAAUACCCUCAGAUUAAAGCAGACAGUCUGCACUUUAACCGCAUAUUAAUUGUAUAAUUUCCAAUCCAAAGUGCUGGAGUACAGAGCCGAAACAACACAUCAUGUGUCACUGUCUCAAUACUUUUAGAGCUCACUGUAUGAAACAGACUGCUUCAUAGUGAAUUGAAAACUCACCCUAAAACUACUGAAAGUGGAAGGACGAAAACAAAACAUUGACAUUUCUAUUGGGGAGCUAAAACAGUUUGUGCUUACGCUUAUGGUUGUUCAAAAAGUCAAACCGUUACAAAUUGCAUAUGAAUAUAGAGUUUAACAUAAUGGUUUUCAGUAUUUGUUGUUUUUUUAUGAGUUUUUUUUAUGAGACAACCCACAUUUUCACAGUAAUAUAGUUGCUGAUUAUUAGUGGAGUGGAGGAAGUGCUGUCAAGUCAACACUAACAUGUUGACCUUAUGUCACAGCUUAAAGAUAUUCACGAAAAGGAAAUGUGGAACUCACCCUUUCCUGAAGUGUUACCAAAAUGUAAUCUAAAAUAAGAAAAUAUUAUUUUUGUAUUUUGAAAUGGGGUUGUACAAAAUGUAAAAUGGUGUUCUUCUGAUCAACAUUUAAAAUCUGAGGUUAUCUGAUACUAGAAAACAUUGGUUCUCAUCUCUGUUGAUGGAGUCCCCCCCAUGCAUAUAUUACAGCGAGGGAAAAAAGUAUUUGAUCCCCUGCUGAUUUUGUAUGUUUGCCCACUGACAAAGAAAUGAUCAGUCUAUCAUUUUAAUGGUAGGUUUAUUUGAACAGUGAGAGACAGAAUAACAACCAAAGAAUCCAGAAAAACGCAUGUUAAAAAUGUUAUAAAUUGAUUUGCAUUUUAAUGAGGGAAAUAAGUAUUUGACCCCCUCUCAAUCAGAAAGAUUUCUGGCUUCCAGGUGUCUUUUAUACAGGUAACAAACUGAGAUUAGGAGCACACUCUUAAAGGGAGUGCUCCUAAUCUCAGUUUGUUACCUGUAUAAAAGACACCUGUCCACAGAAGCAAUCAAUCAAUCAGAUUCCAAACUCUCCACCAUGGCCAAGACCAAAGAGCUCUCCAAGGAAAUCAGGGACAAGAUUGUAGACCUACACAAGGCUGGAAUGGGCUACAAGACCAUCGCCAAGCAGCUUGGUGAGAAGGUGACAACAGUUGGUGCGAUUAUUUGCAAAUGGAAGAAACACAAAAGAACUGUCAUCUCCUUCGACCUGGGGCUCCAUGCAAGAUCUCACCUAGUGGAGUUGCAAUGAUCAUGAGAACGGUGAGGAAUCAGCCCAGAACUACACGGGAGGAUCUUAUCAAUGAUCUCAAGGCAGCUGGGACCAUAGUCACCAAGAAACCAAUUGGUAACACACUACGCCAUGAAGGACUGAAAUCCUGCAGCGCCCAAAAGGUCCCCCUGCUCAAGAAAGCACAUAUACAUGCCCGUCUGAAGUUUGCCAAUGAUAAUCUGAAUGAUUCAGAGGACAACUGGGUGAAAGUGUUGUGGUCAGAUGAGACCAAAAUGGAGCUCUUUGGCAUCAACUCAACUCGCAGUAUUUGGAGGAAGAGGAAUGCUACCUACGACCCCAAGAACACCAUCCCCACCGUCAAACAUGGAGGUGGAAACAUUAUGCUCUGGGGGUGUUUUUCUGUUAAGGGGACAGGACAACUUCACCGCAUCAAAGGGACGAUGGACGGGGCCAUGUACCGUCAAAUCUUGGGUGAGAAUCUCCUUCUCUCAGCCAGGGCAUUGAAAAUGGGUCGUGGAUGGGUAUUCCAGCAUGACAAUGACCCAAAACACACAGCCAAGGCAACAAAGGAGUGGCUCAAGAAGAAGCACAUUAAGGUCCUGGAGUGGCUUAGCCAGUCUCCAGACCUUAAUCCCAUAGAAAAUCUGUGGAGGGAGCUGAAGGUUCUAGUUGCCAAACGUCAGCCUCGAAACCUUAAUGACUUGGAGAAGAUCUGCAAAGAGGAGUGGGACAAAAUCCCUCCGGAGAUGUGUGCAAACCUGGUGGCCAACUACAAGAAACGUCUGACCUCUGUGAUUGCCAACAAAGGUUUCGCCACCAAGUACUAAGUCAUGUUUUGCAGAGGGGUCAAAUACUUAUUUCCCUCAUUAAAAUGCUAAUCAAUGUAUAACAUUUUUGACAUGUGUUUUUCUGGAUUUUUUGGUCGUUAUUCUGUCUCUCACUGUUCAAAUAAACCUACCAUUAAAAUGAUAGACUGAUCAUUUCUUUGUCAGUGGGCAAAUGUACAAAAUCAGCAGGAGAUACUUUUUUCCCUCACUGUAUGUUCAUCUUAGACUAUGUGUUGAAACAGAGCUACAUCAUGUUUCAAUUACGAGAGGUUUCGUCAGCGUGGAUAUAAUCAUAGGGUUAUCUCAACUUGUUUUAUCUCUAUGGUAAUAUUGUCUUACAUUUCACAUCUUGACUCACUGGACAAACAGCAAAACAUUAUCAAGGGGCAGGCCUAGACUAUCUAUAGGCCAUUAGGAUCUUCUAUAUGACACAUAUUUGAGUGUCCAGAUAUUACACUAGAUUCGGAACCAAUGAUUUAUAAAGAUAUUUAAACAGAAAAACAUAUUAAUAAAACGUAUGUUGCUGGUGAUUUAGCCUUUGUAAAAUGUUAACUAAUUUAAUUGUUGAUUUUAUUUAUGUUUUGUAACUAAUCAAAAUAAAUGGUGUUAAACAUCAAA